UACGAGGGGGGCAAGCGUUGUUCGGAUUUAUUGGGCGUAAAGGGUGCGUAGGCGGUUUGGCAAGUCUUGUGUGAAAUCUUUGGGCUCAACCCAAAGUCUGCACAAGAAACUGCCGGGCUUGAGUAUGGGAGAGGUGAGUGGAAUUCCUGGUGUAGCGGUGAAAUGCGCAGAUAUCAGGAAGAGCACCCGUGGCUAAGGCGGCUCUCUGGGACGGUACUGACGCUGAGACGCGAAAGCGUGGGGAGCGAACAGG
rnacentral:rRNA from 1 species